UUUCAAAAAGGGGGCGCGCGUGCCCGUGCUCACGGGCCUUCCGGGGUCGGGUUUUUCCCCCCAGUAAAUGUGCUGAUUUUGUUUUUACCUGAAUUCGCUUUUAAACACGCAAAAUCUUCUACCUUCUUGCAUCGGAUUUAGAAAAGAAGAAAUUCCUCAGUGUCCAUUCCUCCAACUCGAUUUGAUUUUGGAUUUUAUUUUUUAUGCACUCUCCUUGUUUGUGAUGAUAACAUCAGAAUCGUAGCCAGUAGACUCCAACUGAUCGGUGAUCAGCUAAACAACAACUAUGGCCAUAAUGUGCAUUUCAUCCCACACGCUCUUCUUGCCAUCAGUGAAUUUAUUCAAUCAGAAAGUGCCGUAUUUAUUGGCAACGUGAUAAGGACUAUGCUUGCUGUGACCAGAAUGCCAGCUGGAAUACAAACACAGAGAUCCGUAUCUGUUUGGAGGAUGAUGAUCAGAGUGGUAAUUGUGAUUCUGGAAGAGCUGCUUUAUAUGUAGGACAGUUACAACUCCCUGGCAUCACUAAAUUCUGCAAGAUUGCGCCUACAAAAUGAAGUGAAUACUUUUGGAGUACAGCGUUCCAAUUUAACCAUUGAUUUGUAAUUAACAUGUAGUUGGUUACUCAUGCAAUGAAAAUCCUGGAGAAAUCACAUGAUGUUUUAGGGCAGUGCACUUAGCAGUGAUUGUAUAGUUGUUGCAGUUUCCGCACUUUUUGUUGAAGUUGAGUGUGCCUGCAUUGAUCUUAUUAUUGCAGUGAUCUGAGAUGCUGCAGUAAGUGACAGUGGGUUGGCCUUGUUGAUGUGGAGUUACAGGAGUUUUCACUGUGUACCUUUCAGUUGAGCCACAGGAGCAGGCUGGAUGGUCAGUUUUCUCGAUUAUUUCCCUGCUGUUGCAGUGGUAAAGAUGCUGCAAGCACAGUCUUAACUAAAAACAACAGUGGCAGAGUGCCAUCUGAGUCUGUUUCUCAAUCCACAGUUAUUAAUGUGACUUUAUACGCUCUAUUGUACAGCGAUCUGCCUCACUCACAGCCCCAAAGUUGCAGAGCGCCCUUACACUUCAGUUGACCAGUUGUUUAAAAAUUGUUGUUUGUAAAUGUUCUGCCACAUGUCUCGUUGCAUUAAUUUCCAAAGGGUUUGCAUUAAAUUUCUGGGCAUUGUUUGCUCACUGUAAAUGAACACAUAGUUUGCUGAGUUCCCCAGACUACAUGAGAAUGGGACAAUAACCAAAGGGAACAAAUAUAUUUCAGAAGAUAAUUUCAAUGAACAUUUUGAUCAGACAGUAUUUUGAGGAUUAGAGGAUAUCAAAUAUAUUUUAGUUUCACCUCACACUAGUGAUCCCUGGAAAAGGGAAGCUUACCUCAUUCUAAGAUAGUUCGGACAUGGGAGUUCAGUUUGCUGUCUGUUUUGCUUCCAUUUGAAAUUGCCAUUAACAUGAAGCAUAAGCAGUUUACUCUGUUUACUAUUCUUGAAUUAGAUUCUAGAAGCUGGGCUAUCUUGAAAAUAUGAAAGAAUACUCAUUUUGUUACACUGUAGUUUUCUCUUAUAUUGAGUCAAAUAUGUUCAAAGUGUUAAAUUAAAACACUGAAAUCCUGAAACUGGAGCAGGUUCUGGCUCAUUAUUUCUUGGCACACAGCACAGAGAAGGAACUGAAGUUGACAUUUAUUGUCAAUAGUAAUUAAGAUUAUAUCAAAACAGUAAUGAAUAUUUAUGAUUAUGAGAUGAGCAAAGAACAUGCAGUUCACACUACCUUAGUACCCAGGUUAACAAAAAGACACCAAUAUCAGUCCCCAGUUAAGAAAGUGUUCUUCCAGUUGGGAAUGUUGUGAAACCUUGACUGCAAGCCUUAGAAAAUGAAGUACAAGAUUAUAGUAAAUGAAAAAGUCAUAUCAAAGAAUAAUAUCAGGAG